GGGAGUGUAGACAAUUAAGGAGAUUGGCGGGACUGUAAAUUCCGUGGCUUUAGCACUGAGUGGGUUCGAUUCCCUCCACUCCUA
rnacentral:tRNA from 1 species